UUCUUAUCCCAGGAAUGCGUUCUUAUCCGACAAUACAGCCACCCGCGGCGAGGCUUUGGUUUUUAACCAAUCAGCUUGCAGCAGUACUGAUCAGGCACGGAUCCCUGUACUAGCGAGCAGACCACGAGCAGUUGCGUUAUUUUUCGUUGUCUGUUCUGGCAAUCGGCCGGCGGAUGAACAUCCGCAAUCGAAUCUUGAAAUCCGUCGCGCUGAUUGGUGAUGAGUUUCAUGAGCUACUUUCAUGAGGUCUAUGAAAGUAAACCUAUGCUAUGCCCUGAACAGAUGACAUCUCGUUUGGUAGCCAAUUGCUAAAAUGCAUUUUUAUCUUACGCAAGGCAGUAUACCAUAUUUUAUACCGUGGCUCUGAUCCGAAAUCAGGGCAUUUUUGUUCGAACAAAUACCUAUAAUAACGAUGAAGAAGUGCGUGAUCCGCGGAGCAAACGACCUACGUCGGGUCGGGACUGAUAUGCGUGUGACUGUGCACAAGUUCCCGCUAAAAAAAGAAGUACAGAGAAAAGUGGAUGAGGGUGUGUGGCAUGACCAAUGAGCCAAGACCACAUGACCACUUAAACUUAACAAGAAGUGCGCACCAUGAUAAGCACAGUCAAAAACGUUUGCGUCUAAAGAACAGUGCUGUGCCGGAUCAGAAUAUUCUGUAUACGCCUUGGGUUGCUGUCGCUGCUCGGUCACCCACCACACCAUUCUACGCUGCUGUCGCUGCUGUCGCUGCUCGGUGGCGGCCGGUGCGCGGGCGCUGCCGCGUGGCUGGUGGCCGCGGCCCUGGCGGCAGCGGCCCGCUCCUGACCCGGUCGCCCUGUGCCGAGCACAGAGCGCCGACUGAGGUCAGUCUUGUGAUCGAGCUUCCGCGCCGGAGGUGGAACAGGUGGAGCUGGCGGUCACCUGCGCGGGCUCGGCGGCCUGUAAGCCGUGCCGAGACGAACCGCGACACUCUUGCUAGAUCUGCACCCCAUUGUAAUCUUCUGUAGUCGAUAUUCGGUAGGUACUCAAUGCUCAUUUUUCUGAUAUUAGACGAGUGGCGGGUUUUGAUGUUACAUUGGAGACUGCUGUCUCGGGUGGCCCGACAGUGUUCGAUUGUGGUGUAAUGUAGAUACAUAGACGGGAUGCCGCGGCUCGGAUUCGUAGCUGGACUACCAUGUGCCUGUCGAUUGAGAUGCUUUGCCUGGCGAUUGAGAUGAUUCGGGGCGCGGCCCCACACUGACGCCAUGGUGCAAUGAGUGACUGGCGACAACUAAGCAAUUAUGUACUUUUGUAGAACACAUGUUUUCAUGGAUACGAGAGGCAGUCCUUUUUUCGCUAGCAGUCAUUUGGUUCACGAUACUUUCGAUACCGACAAAUAUGUUCGGGCGGCCGGUCCGUCCACAGCUAAUGCGUGCUUGCCCGCCGAUGCCCAACGGAGCGCUGUGCUGUCUACGCUCACUGGUCGCUGGCCCGAGAGCCGUUCGGUUGCUGCUGUUAAAACAGUUCUCACAAAAACACGCUGGCUGGCUGCCAGUUCUUCACCAAUGAGAGGCCCAGUAGCAUCAGCAGGUAGCAUUGUUAAAUAUUACUAUUCCAUUUUGUUUACCCAUAUGUCCGACCUAGAGCCGACUGGUAAAAAGCGGCAACCGAGCAGCCCUCCGCAGCGCUGCAGAUCAUGUACGCUCGAUUAUACACAAUAUAUGUGUCUUUCUUGCACACAGAGACAUGA
rnacentral:lncRNA from 1 species